AAGGCAGAGGAGGAAGAAUGAGUGGCUUACUCAGACCUCUCACUCUCUUCUCUGUCUUGGA
rnacentral:pre_miRNA from 1 species